UAUAUAUAUAUAUAUAUAUAGGCCGGUAUACUAUCGGUAGCACAGAGGUCUCCGUGCUACCAAGUUGUUUUCAAUGAUUCGGCUUCCAAAUCGACGAUCGGGUCCGUUAGACUUCAUCUACACUAUUAAAAGUAUUUGAAAACUAAAUUUCAUAAUUUUUCGACACCAUUUGGCCAAUGAUCAAAAGGUCUCAAAAUUGACUAUUUUAAAUAAAAUAAUUUUUUAGGCUUAUAUAUAUAUAUAUAGGCCGGUAUACUAUCGGUAGCACAAAGGUCUCCGUGGUACCAAGUUGUUUUCAAUGAUGUGGCUUCCAAAUCGACGAUCGGCUCCGUUAGACUUCAUUUACACUAUUAAAAGUAUUUGGAAACUAAAUUUCAUAAUUUUUCGACACUAUUUGGCCAGUGAUCAAAAGAUCUCAAAAUUGACUAUUUUGAUGGUAGAUGUGAUGCGUUUGUGAAUUUAACGGUGUAAAAUAAUUCAUAUCUGAUGAAAUUUUUAUAAAAAAUUCUUUUUACUAUUUAGAAUAAGAUUAGUACAUCUGAUCUUAAAUUUAAGUUUUUUAUCAUCAUUUCUUAUGAGAUUUUUAUUUUCAGCCGUUCAUUUUUAGACUACUCGUUUGAUAGGUAAAUGAUAUCGAAAAAUUAUGAAAUUUAGUUUCCAAAUAUUUUUAAUAGUAUAGAUCAAGUCUAAAGAAGCCGAUCGUCGAUUUGAAAACUGUAUCAUUGAAAAUAACUUAAUAGCACGGAGGCCUCCGUCCUACCGAUAGUAUACUAGCGUAGCUCAUAUAUAUAUAUAUAUAUAUAUAUAUAUAGUCCGGCUGCUUUGUUAUCGAUAGUACCAAGCACUUAGUGCUAUCAAGUUUUUUGCCGUUAGAUUAACCCCUUUGAUUAUUUUUACCCGUUUAAUUAUGCUAUUCAACUAACCACCCACUAAACCUUAUGGUGCCAACAUCAUCCUAACCGCACAUUUCUUAAUCCAAAGGCUAAAAAACUAAUAGCACCAAUAGUUUGGUGCUAUUGAUAGUAUUCCAAUAUAUAUAUAUAUAUA
rnacentral:lncRNA from 1 species